GGUUGGGGUUAAGACUAGGGUUAAGGUUAGGGUUGGGGUUAAGACUAGGGUUAAGGUUAGGGUUGGGGUUAAGACUAGGGUUAAAGUUAGGGUUGGGGUUAAGACUAGGGUUAAGGUUAGGGUUGAGGUUGGGGUCAGUUUGAGUGUUUUCCUUCAUUGGACUGCCAAUGUGUUGCACCCCAAUAUGCCUUAGUAACGGCUGAGCACACAGGUCUUCCUCGGUACCAAUUUGUUUGUGGGUUCUGGAAGUAACGUGCCCGAGGGAAGGGGCCCAUUUCAUUGUCAAACAAUCACCCACGUGAAUCACCAGUUUUCCUGUCUGGUAACUCCUCUAACAUCAAAUAAACUUAUUUUCUAAAUACUUUGUCUCAUUUUCUAAAGUUCUAGACUCUACUGUUUAACUCAGUGAAUCAUUUGUUGGCUUUCAGUGAUGUGUAUAAAGGGUUCAUGUGUUCA
ensembl:lncRNA